GGAUGACGUCAAGUCCUCAUGGCCUUUAUGCCCAGGGAUGCAAACGUGCUACAAUGGUACGGACAAAGCGAUGCAAUACCGCGAGGUGGAGCAAAUCGCAAAAACCGUGCCCCAGUUCGGAUAGCAGGCUGAAAUUCGCCUGCUUGAAGCCGGAAUCGCUAGUAAUCGCGUAUCAGCUACGACGCGGUGAAUACGUUCCUGAGCCUUG
rnacentral:rRNA from 1 species